ensembl:snRNA U6 U6 spliceosomal RNA
GCACUCACUUCAACAGAACAUACUCUAAAAUUGAAAUGAUAGAGAGAUUAGCAUGGCCCUUGCACAAGGAUGACAUGCAAAUUCAUGAAGUGUUCCAUAUUUUG